UACGUAGGGUGCAAGCGUUAAUCGGAAUUACUGGGCGUAAAGCGUGCGCAGGCGGUUUUGUAAGUCUGUCGUGAAAGCCCCGGGCUCAACCUGGGAAUUGCGAUGGAGACUGCAAGGCUUGAAUCUGGCAGAGGGGGGUAGAAUUCCACGUGUAGCAGUGAAAUGCGUAGAGAUGUGGAGGAACACCGAUGGCGAAGGCAGCCCCCUGGGUCAAGAUUGACGCUCAUGCACGAACGCGUGGGGAGCAAACAGG
rnacentral:rRNA from 1 species